rnacentral:rRNA from 1 species
CCUACGGGUGACAGCAGUGGGGAAUAUUGGGCAAUGGGCGCAAGCCUGACCCAGCAACGCCGCGUGAAGGAAGAAGGCUCUCGGGUUGUAAACUUCUUUUAUCAGGGACGAAGCAAGUGACGGUACCUGAUGAAUAAGCCACGGCUAACUACGUGCCAGCAGCCGCGGUAAUACGUAGGUGGCAAGCGUUAUCCGGAUUUACUGGGUGUAAAGGGCGUGUAGGCGGGAAAGCAAGUCAGAUGUGAAAACCAUGGGCUCAACCUGUGGCCUGCAUUUGAAACUGUUUUUCUUGAGUACUGGAGAGGCAGACGGAAUUCCUAGUGUAGCGGUGAAAUGCGUAGAUAUUAGGAGGAACACCGGCGGCGAAGGCGGCCUGCUGGACCGCGACUGACGUUGAGGCUCGAAAGCGUGGGGAGCGAACAGGAUUAGAUACCCGAGUAGUC